UCUUGUGAUAUUUCUUUUGUGAGCCUAGAUCUUUAGAGGCAGGUGUGCACUUUUUCUGUUGUAAUAUCUUUCCAUCACACCAGGAUGCAGCCUGAAUCAGUGAUAAAACCCUAAAUUAUUUAUUCUGACAGCAAACGUAUGCUACUGCCAGGUAUACAGGUUAGGGGAGUACAGGUUAUAAUUACUCAAUAGAUUCUACUUUUCUUUACAAAGCCUCAGAAGAAAUUAAGGUUAAGGUUUUUUUUAAUAACUCUUUCUGUCCUGAAAUGAAUCAAGACAACAGAAAAUUGAGAAGUGUAUGAGUUCUUGGCGUGACAUUGCAGUGCAUUCUGGACAUCUUUCACAAGAAGUGAACUCAAUUAUGACCAACUAAUUGUUCAAGCAAACAGCAAAUGAUCUUUCUACUUUCCCUUUAGACUUUCUUUCUGUCUAAAAUGACAGCUGCAUCAUUCUUUUAGAAAGCUGAUAAACAUACACAUUAAUAGUAAAAGCUUUCCCAGUUAUUCAGACAUUCUUUGAAUGCUUAUAAAUUUCUAGUGGGCAGGAGUCAAGUGGACAUGACUAUGCUAUUGCCAUGUGACAGUACAAGGGGCAAGGGACACAAACACAAGGAACACAGGAAGUUUCAUGCAAGUAUGAGGAAAAACUUCUAUACUUUAGAGCUGAGAGAACACUGGAACAAGAUGCACAGUGUGUCAGCCAUAGAUCUUGAAACACAGAAGACCAGUGUACCUUACACACCCUCAAAAGUAAAAGACAGUACUAAGGGCAAAGCAGUCUCACAGUAUUCCGUACUUCUGUUGUACAGAGAAGGAAUUCAGGAUUUAUUUGACUGUAUCAAUUCCAUGUUCUUCAGGGCACUGAAAUCAUAUGUAGGCUGUCAUCAUUGUUUCUGUGAUUUGUUCAACAACAGGUUAUUUUGUACUCUCACCUGUUCCUAGUACAGAUGUAAUUCUUUACAUAUAAUUAAACACUCUUUGGGGAUUUAAGACUUAAAAUGGAAUCAUCCAAAACAGAGUGAGUAAUUAAAUUGCUUAAUAAAAGCUUUUUAUUUUGCACAUAAUUCCUAUUCUUUAAAAAGAAAAAAUAGUUUACCAAAAAGAGAGCUUGAGGGACUUCUUUCAGGAAACACUUCAUGACUCUGAUAGUUAAGGUACUUUUAUACCCCCAAGAGCAUUUUAAUCAUUGGCUUUUUAAAUAAGAAGGCUUAAAGUUAGACUUCUUACCUGCUUGCAUAAUCCUUGACUACUGAUUGCUGUAUUGUACAGCAGGGUUUUUUUCUGCUCAUAGCAUAAGACCUCAUCAGCAGAAGAUAACUAUCAACAUUGCAAAAUAGCUGUAGCCAAAAUACUUGUAUUCUCUCUUUUUUUUUUUAUUAAAAAGGUGUUGGCAGAAAAUGUCUGACUAGGUCUAGUAUUUAAACUGUGUAUUUCUGAAGUGAAAACACUAAAGCGUGUUACAGACUUGUAACAUUUGUACAUUUAGCAAACUUAGAGAAGAAAACAGCCAUUGAUCUGUGCUUGUUUAAAUAAACAUUGGCUAGAUAU